GAUGAACGCUGGCGGCGUGCCUAACACAUGCAAGUCGAACGACGAAGCACAGCUUGCUGGGUGGUAUAGUGGGCAACGGGCGGGUAACACGUGAGUAAAUCGCACUCGACUCUGGGAUAAGCCUGGGCGACUGGGUAUAAUACUGGAUAUGACAUAUCAUCGCCUGGUGGGGGGAGGAAAGAUUUAUUGGUUUUGGAUGGACUCGCGGCCUAUCCGCUUGUUGGUGAGGGAAUGGUUGACGAAGGCGACGACGGGUAGCCGGCCUGGGAGGGUGACCGGCGACACGAGGACUGAGGCACGGCCCAGACUGCUACGGGAGGCAACAGUGGGGAGUAUUGCACAAUGGGCGCGAGCCUGAGGCAGCGGCGCUGCGUGAGGGAUGACGGCCUGCUGGUUGUGAACCUCUUUCGGUAGGGAAGAAGCGGUAGUGACGGUACCUACAGAAGAAGCGCCGGCUAACUACGUG
rnacentral:rRNA from 1 species